rnacentral:misc_RNA from 1 species
CACAUCAUAUUUCUAUGGUAGUGGUUGUAUAAUUCCCUAACCUUCUCCUGAAGCAAAUAAAGAAAGAAAGAUGAUUGAUAGAGUGCAACUAGAACAAGGGAAAAGGAAUUAGAAGUUAACUUUGGAAUUUUGUGUUGUGCUAUCUUGAUUACCUUAGCAACUGAUGUCUCUCAAACUGCAUAUACUGAACAUAAUUGCGUAAAGUUGAUAGUUAAUGUUAGGGCAUUAAAAAAAGUGUGCUGAGUG